UACGAAGGGGGCUAGCGUUGUUCGGAUUUACUGGGCGUAAAGCGCACGUAGGCGGCUUUGUAAGUUAGAGGUGAAAGCCCGGGGCUCAACUCCGGAACUGCCUUUAAGACUGCAUCGCUAGAAUUGUGGAGAGGUAAGUGGAAUUCCGAGUGUAGAGGUGAAAUUCGUAGAUAUUCGGAAGAACACCAGUGGCGAAGGCGACUUACUGGACACAUAUUGACGCUGAGGUGCGAAAGCGUGGGGAGCAAACAGG
rnacentral:rRNA from 1 species